UACGAACCGUCCAAACGUUAUUCGGAAUUAUUGGGCUUAAAGGGUCCGUAGGCGGCGCGGCAAGUUGGGUGUGAAAUCCCUCGCCUCAAUCGAGGAAUUGCGCCCAAAACUGCCGUGCUCGAGGGAGACAGAGGUAAGCGGAACUGAUGGUGGAGCGGUGAAAUGCGUUGAUAUCAUCAGGAACACCAGUGGCGAAGGCGGCUUACUGGGUCUCUACUGACGCUGAGGGACGAAAGCUAGGGUAGCGAACGGG
rnacentral:rRNA from 1 species